rfam:Camelus ferus unplaced genomic scaffold scaffold976, whole genome shotgun sequence.
GAGGGUGUAGCUCAAGUGGUAGAGCGCAUGCUUAGCAUGCAUGAGGUCCUGGGUUCAAUCCCCAGUACCUCCU